rnacentral:lncRNA from 1 species
AUAAUUAACAAUUUAAUUAUAUAAAUUAUUUUCACCAUCAAUGUUUUUAUUUUGUAUUGGCAAUUAUUUUAUUGACAGGUAACGGAUAUCUUUCAGAGUCUAGUCUCUGUCUGUCAGUGUCUGUUCAGUUCUUUGCUGUUGUUUUGGAUUGUGGUUUGUUACUGCAUCUGAGCAAUUUAAGCAAAUUAUCUGGUCAUUUUUACGUUGAGUCGAGGAACUGCUCCUCCGUACUCUAUCUGUUGAUAGUACUUUCGCGAAAGGACGCUUUAUUACUUGUGUUGUGUGUAUGUACCAAUGGUAUGUACGUGCUUUAAAAUGACGAGUUUACAAUGCAUCAAUUGCAACGUUCGCUUGUCGCGAAUACGAUGGCACGCUUUAUCCGAUGAGAGUGAAGAUAUCGUCAAUACUAUUCGGCUGUGGACAUAUCCUAGAGAUAUAACACCUGCUGACCAUGUUUGCCGCACGGAACAAAUAUUU